GACGAACGCUGGCGGCGUGCCUAAUACAUGCAAGUUGAGCGCUGAAGGUUGGUACUUGUACCAACUGGAUGAGCAGCGAACGGGUGAGUAACGCGUGGGGAAUCUGCCUUUGAGCGGGGGACAACAUUUGGAAACGAAUGCUAAUACCGCAUAAAAACUUUAAACACAAGUUUUAAGUUUGAAAGAUGCAAUUGCAUCACUCAAAGAUGAUCCCGCGUUGUAUUAGCUAGUUGGUGAGGUAAAGGCUCACCAAGGCGAUGAUACAUAGCCGACCUGAGAGGGUGAUCGGCCACAUUGGGACUGAGACACGGCCCAUACGCCUACGGGAGGCAGCAGUAGGGAAUCUUCGGCAAUGGACGAAAGUCUGACCGAGCAACGCCGCGUGAGUGAAGAAGGUUGUCGGAUCGUAAAACUCUGUUGGUAGAGAAGAACGUGGGUGAGAGUGGAAAGCUCAUCAAGUGACGGUAACUACCCAGAAAGGGACGGCUAACUACGUG
rnacentral:rRNA from 1 species